GACGAACGCUGGCGGCGUGCUUAACACAUGCAAGUCGAACGGAGUGGCGAACGGGUGAGUAACACGUGGGUGACCGGCCUUGCACUUCGGGAUAAGCCUGGGAAACCGGGUCCAAUACCGGAUAGUGUGGGAUGGGCCCGCGGCCUACCAGCUUGUUGGUGGGGUCAUGGCCUACCAAGGGGGCGACGAGUAGCCGGCCGGAGGGGGGGGACGGCCGCAUUGGGGCUCAGACACGGCCCAGACUACUUCGGGAUGCAGCAGUGGGGAUUAUUGCACAAUGGGCUGAAGCCUGAUGCAGCGGCGCCGCUUGUGGGAUGAGGGCCUUCGAGUGGUAAACUCCUUACACCAUCGACGCGGUAGAUAUAGAAGAAGCACCGGCUGACUACGUGCCAGCAGCCGCGGUAAUUC
rnacentral:rRNA from 1 species